AGUGAACGCUGGCGGUAGGCCUAACACAUGCAAGUCGAACGGCAGCACAGUAAGAGCUUGCUCUUACGGGUGGCGAGUGGCGGACGGGUGAGGAAUACAUCGGAACCUACUUUUUCGUGGGGGAUAACGUAGGGAAACUUACGCUAAUACCGCAUACGACCUACGGGUGAAAGCAGGGGAUCUUCGGACCUUGCGCGAUUGAAUGAGCCGAUGUCGGAUUAGCUAGUUGGCGGGGUAAAGGCCCACCAAGGCGACGAUCCGUAGCUGGUCUGAGAGGAUGAUCAGCCACACUGGAACUGAGACACGGUCCAGACUCCUACGGGAGGCAGCAGUGGGGAAUAUUGGACAAUGGGCGCAAGCCUGAUCCAGCCAUACCGCGUGGGUGAAGAAGGCCUUCGGGUUGUAAAGCCCUUUUGUUGGGAAAGAAAGGCAGCAGGUUAAUACCCCGCUGUUCUGACGGUACCCAAAGAAUAAGCACCGGCUAACUUCGUG
rnacentral:rRNA from 1 species